rnacentral:rRNA from 1 species
ACACCGGCAGCCCAAGUGGUGGCCAUUUUUAUUGGGCCUAAAGCGUUCGUAGCCGGCCUGAUAAGUCUCUGGUGAAAUCCCGCAGCUUAACUGUGGGAAUUGCUGGAGAUACUAUCAGGCUUGAGGUCGGGAGAGGUUAGAGGUACUCCCAGGGUAGGGGUGAAAUCCUAUAAUCCUGGGAGGACCACCUGUGGCGAAGGCGUCUAACUGGAACGAACCUGACGGUGAGUAACGAAAGCCAGGGGCGCGAACCGGAUUAGAUACCGGGGUAGUCCUGGCCGUAAACGAGGUGGACUUGGUGUUGGGAUGGCCUCGAGCUGCCCCAGUGCCGAAGGGAAGCUGUUAAGUCCACCGCCUGGGAAGUACGGCCGCAAGGCUGAAACUUAAAGGAAUUGGCGGGG